CCAAUAGCGUAUAUUAAAGUUGUUGCAGUUAAAAAGCUCGUAGUUGAAUUUCGGGUUCAGUACGUUGGUCGUGCCUUCGGUAUGUACUGGUGUCACUGAUUCCUCCCUUCUGACGAACCGUGAUGUCAUUAAUUUGGUGUUGCGGGGAAUCAGGACUGUUACUUUGAAAAAAUUAGAGUGUUUAAAGCAGGCUCACGCUUGAAUACAUUAGCAUGGAAUAAUGAAAUAGGACGUUUGAUCCUAUUUUGUUGGUUUCUAGGAUCGACGUAAUGAUUAAUAGGGAUAGUUGGGGGCAUUAGUAUUCAAUUGUCAGAGGUGAAAUUCUUGGAUUUAUUGAAGACUAACUACUGCGAAAGCAUUUGCCAAGGAUGUUUUCAUUAAUCAAGAACGAAAGUUAGGGGAUCGAAGACGAUCAGAUACCGUCGUAGUCUUAACCAUAAACUAUGCCGACUAGGGAUCGGAUGAUGUUAAUUUUACAAUGACUCAUUCGGCGCCUUACG
rnacentral:rRNA from 1 species